AGAGUUUGAUCAUGGCUCAGAUUGAACGCUGGCGGCAUGCUUUACACAUGCAAGUCGAGCGGCAGCGCGGGGGCAACCCUGGCGGCGAGCGGCGAACGGGUGAGUAAUGCAUCGGAACGUAUCCUGUAGUGGGGGAUAACCCAGCGAAAGUUGGGCUAAUACCGCAUGAGCUCUGAGGAGGAAAGCGGGGGACCUGAAAGGGCCUCGCGCUGCCGGAGCGGCCGAUGUCCGAUUAGCUAGUUGGUGGGGUAAAGGCUUACCAAGGCGACGAUCGGUAGCUGGUCUGAGAGGAUGAUCAGCCACACUGGGACUGAGACACGGCCCAGACUCCUACGGGAGGCAGCAGUGGGGAAUUUUGGACAAUGGGGGCAACCCUGAUCCAGCCAUGCCGCGUGAGUGAAGAAGGCCUUCGGGUUGUAAAGCUCUUUCGGACGGAACGAAAUGGGCGGGACUAAUACUCCUGUCCGAUGACGUACCUAAGAAGAGCCCC
rnacentral:rRNA from 1 species